rnacentral:rRNA from 1 species
UAGCUAGUUGGUGGGGUAAGGGCCUACCAAGGCGACGAUCGGUAGCUGGUCUGAGAGGAUGACCAGCCACACUGGAACUGAGACACGGUCCAGACUCCUACGGGAGGCAGCAGUGGGGAAUAUUGGACAAUGGAGGCAACCCUGAUCCAGCAAUGCCGCGUGUGUGAAGAAGGCCUGAGGGUUGUAAAGCACUUUCAGUGGGGAGGAGGGUUGAUAGGUUAAGAGCUAAUUAACUGGACGUUACCCACAGAAGAAGCACCGGCUAACUCCGUGCCAGCAGCCGCGGUAAUACGGAGGGUGCGAGCGUUAAUCGGAAUUACUGGGCGUAAAGGGUGCGUAGGUGGUUGAUUAAGUUAUCUGUGAAAUUCCUGGGCUUAACCUGGGACGGUCAGAUAAUACUGGUUGACUCGAGUAUGGGAGAGGGUAGUGGAAUUUCCGGUGUAGCGGUGAAAUGCGUAGAGAUCGGAAGGAACACCAGUGGCGAAGGCGGCUACCUGGCCUAAUACUGACACUGAGGCACGAAAGCGUGGGGAGCAAACAGGAUUAGAUACCCUGGUAGUCCACGCUGUAAACGAUGUCAACUAGCUGUUGGUUAUAUGAAAAUAAUUAGUGGCGC